AGAGAAUUGUGCCAUUGCCUGUCAUUGGAUUUGAGGAGGUCAUCCAAUCACAAUGAAGUUCAAUGAAAUCUGAAGACUGGUUAGCAAAGUCUUAACCAUAACCGCUUGCUAUCUAUUGAAAUAUAUUGGGAAGCACAGAUUGUAUCAUCAUGAAAUUUUCACACAUGGUGGAACUCCAUUUGUUAACAGUCACAGAGGGUGAUGCUUGGCAUUUUAAACUGUACCACAGUCUUAAAUUCAUUAUCAUGUGAACUGAUAAGAUCUAGUACAGAAUUUAAAAAUG
rnacentral:lncRNA from 1 species